GAUGAACGCUAGCUACAGGCUUAACACAUGCAAGUCGAGGGGAAACGAUAUUGGAAGCUUGCUUCCGAUAGGCGUCGACCGGCGCACGGGUGAGUAACGCGUAUCCAACCUGCCCGUCACUUGGGAAUAACCUUGCGAAAGUAAGACUAAUGCCCAAUGACAUUUAUAGAAGGCAUCUGAAAUGAAUUAAAGAUUUAUCGGUGAUGGAUGGGGAUGCGUCUGAUUAGCUUGUUGGCGGGGUAACGGCCCACCAAGGCGACGAUCAGUAGGGGUUCUGAGAGGAAGGUCCCCCCACAUUGGAACUGAGACACGGUCCAAACUCCUACGGGAGGCAGCAGUGAGGAAUAUUGGUCAAUGGGCGAGAGCCUGAACCAGCCAAGUAGCGUGCAGGAUGACGACCCUAUGGGUUGUAAACUGCUUUUAUAGGGGAAUAAAGUGAGCCACGUGUGGUUUUUUGCAUGUACCCUAUGAAUAAGGACCGGCUAAUUCCGUGCCAGCAGCCGACGG
rnacentral:rRNA from 1 species